ensembl:lncRNA
AUGAGAAAGCAUGAAUUCUGCCUUAUCCCUUACUUCUAUAUUACCUUAUCCCUUACUUCUACAUUACCUUAUCCCUUACUUCUACAUUACCUUAUCCCUUACUUCUACAUUACCUUAUCCCUUACUUCUACAUUACCUUAUCCCUUACUUCUAUAUUACCUUAUCCCUUACUUCUAUAUUACCUUAUCCCUUACUUCUAUAUUACCUUAUCCCUUACUUCUAUAUUACCUUAUCCCUUACUUCUACAUUACCUUAUCCCUUACUUCUAUAUUACCUUAUCCCUUACUUCUAUAUUACCUUCUCCCUUACUUCUAUAUUACCUUCUCCCUUACUUCUACAUUACCUUCUCCCUUACUUCUAUAUUACCUUAUCCCUUACUUCUAUAUUACCUUAUCCCUUACUUCUAUAUUACCUUCUCCCUUACUUCUAUAUUACCUUCUCCCUUACUUCUAUAUUACCUUAUCCCUUACUUCUUCUAUAUUACCUUAUCCCUUACUUCUUCUAUAUUACCUUAUCCCUUACUUCUACAUUACCUUCUCCCUUACUUCUAUAUUACCUUAUCCCUUACUUCUUCUAUAUUACCUUCUCCCUUACUUCUAUAUUACCUUAUCCCUUACUUCUAUAUUACCUCAUCCCUUACUUCUUCUAUAUUACCUUAUCCCUUACUUCUUCUAUAUUACCUUAUCCCUUACUUCUAUAUUACCUUAUCCCUUACUUCUACAUUACCUUAUCCCUUACUUCUUCUAUAUUACCUUAUCCCUUACUUCUUCUAUAUUACCUUAUCCCUUACUUCUUCUAUAUUACCUUAUCCCUUACUUCUAUAUUACCUUAUCCCUUACUUCUACAUUACCUUAUCCCUUACUUCUUCUAUAUUACCUUAUCCCUUACUUCUUCUAUAUUACCUUAUCCCUUACUUCUUCUAUAUUACCUUAUCCCUUACUUCUUCUAUAUUACCUUAUCCCUUACUUCUUCUACAUUACCUUAUCCCUUACUUCUUCUACAUUACCUUAUCCCUUACUUCUUCUACAUUACCUUAUCCCUUACUUCUACAUUACCGUAUCCCUUACUUCUACAUUACCGUAUCCCUUACUUCUACAUUACCUUAUCCCUUACUUCUACAUUACCUUAUCCCUUACUUCUACAUUACCUUCUCCCUUACUUCUUCUAUAUUACCUUAUCCCUUACUUCUUCUAUAUUACCUUAUCCCUUACUUCUUCUAUAUUACCUUAUCCCUUACUUCUAUAUUACCUUCUCCCUUACUUCUACAUUACCUUCUCCCUUACUUCUAUAUUACCUUCUCCCUUACUUCUAUAUUACCUUCUCCCUUACUUCUAUAUUACCUUCUCCCUUACUUCUAUAUUACCUUCUCCCUUACUUCUAUAUUACCUUAUCCCUUACUUCUAUAUUACCUUAUCCCUUACUUCUUCUAUAUUACCUUAUCCCUUACUUCUACAUUACCUUCUCCCUUACUUCUACAUUACCUUAUCCCUUACUUCUUCUAUAUUACCUUAUCCCUUACUUCUUCUAUAUUACCUCAUCCCUUACUUCUAUAUUACCUCAUCCCUUACUUCUUCUAUAUUACCUUAUCCCUUACUUCUUCUAUAUUACCUUAUCCCUUACUUCUAUAUAUUACCUUAUCCCUUACUUCUACAUUACCUUAUCCCUUACUUCUUCUAUAUUACCUUAUCCCUUACUUCUACAUUACCUUCUCCCUUACUUCUACAUUACCUUAUCCCUUACUUCUUCUAUAUUACCUUCUCCCUUACUUCUAUAUUACCUUAUCCCUUACUUCUAUAUUACCUCAUCCCUUACUUCUUCUAUAUUACCUUAUCCCUUACUUCUUCUAUAUUACCUUAUCCCUUACUUCUAUAUUACCUUAUCCCUUACUUCUACAUUACCUUAUCCCUUACUUCUUCUAUAUUACCUUAUCCCUUACUUCUUCUAUAUUACCUUAUCCCUUACUUCUUCUAUAUUACCUUAUCCCUUACUUCUUCUAUAUUACCUUAUCCCUUACUUCUAUAUUACCUUAUCCCUUACUUCUACAUUACCUUAUCCCUUACUUCUUCUAUAUUACCUUAUCCCUUACUUCUUCUAUAUUACCUUAUCCCUUACUUCUUCUAUAUUACCUUAUCCCUUACUUCUUCUAUAUUACCUUAUCCCUUACUUCUUCUAUAUUACCUUAUCCCUUACUUCUUCUACAUUACCUUAUCCCUUACUUCUUCUACAUUACCUUAUCCCUUACUUCUACAUUACCUUAUCCCUUACUUCUACAUUACCGUAUCCCUUACUUCUACAUUACCUUAUCCCUUACUUCUACAUUACCUUAUCCCUUACUUCUAUAUUACCUUCUCCCUUACUUCUUCUAUAUUACCUUAUCCCUUACUUCUUCUAUAUUACCUUAUCCCUUACUUCUUCUAUAUUACCUUAUCCCUUACUUCUUCUAUAUUACCUUAUCCCUUACUUCUUCUACAUUACCUUAUCCCUUACUUCUUCUACAUUACCUUAUCCCUUACUUCUUCUGCAUUACCUUAUCCCUUACUUCUACAUUACCUUAUCCCUUACUUCUACAUUACCGUAUCCCUUACUUCUACAUUACCUUAUCCCUUACUUCUACAUUACCUUAUCCCUUACUUCUACAUUACCUUAUCCCUUACUUCUACAUUACCUUCUCCCUUACUUCUACAUUACCUUCUCCCUUACUUCUAUAUUACCGUAUCCCUUACUUCUAUAUUACCGUAUCCCUUACUUCUAUAUUACCUUCUCCCUUACUUCUAUAUUACCUUCUCCCUUACUUCUAUAUUACCUUCUCCCUUACUUCUAUAUUACCUUAUCCCUUACUUCUAUAUUACCUUAUCCCUUACUUCUUCUAUAUUACCUUAUCCCUUACUUCUACAUUACCUUCUCCCUUACUUCUACAUUACCUUAUCCCUUACUUCUUCUAUAUUACCUUCUCCCUUACUUCUAUAUUACCGUAUCCCUUACUUCUAUAUUACCGUAUCCCUUACUUCUAUAUUACCUUCUCCCUUACUUCUAUAUUACCUUCUCCCUUACUUCUAUAUUACCUUAUCCCUUACUUCUAUAUUACCUCAUCCCUUACUUCUUCUAUAUUACCUUAUCCCUUACUUCUUCUAUAUUACCUUAUCCCUUACUUCUAUAUUACCUUAUCCCUUACUUCUACAUUACCUUAUCCCUUACUUCUUCUAUAUUACCUUAUCCCUUACUUCUUCUAUAUUACCUUAUCCCUUACUUCUUCUAUAUUACCUUAUCCCUUACUUCUUCUAUAUUACCUUAUCCCUUACUUCUAUAUUACCUUAUCCCUUACUUCUACAUUACCUUAUCCCUUACUUCUUCUAUAUUACCUUAUCCCUUACUUCUUCUAUAUUACCUUAUCCCUUACUUCUUCUAUAUUACCUUAUCCCUUACUUCUUCUAUAUUACCUUAUCCCUUCUUCUAUAUUACCUUAUCCCUUACUUCUUCUACAUUACCUUAUCCCUUACUUCUUCUACAUUACCUUAUCCCUUACUUCUACAUUACCUUAUCCCUUACUUCUACAUUACCGUAUCCCUUACUUCUACAUUACCUUAUCCCUUACUUCUACAUUACCUUAUCCCUUACUUCUAUAUUACCUUCUCCCUUACUUCUUCUAUAUUACCUUAUCCCUUACUUCUUCUAUAUUACCUUAUCCCUUACUUCUUCUAUAUUACCUUAUCCCUUACUUCUUCUAUAUUACCUUAUCCCUUACUUCUUCUACAUUACCUUAUCCCUUACUUCUUCUACAUUACCUUAUCCCUUACUUCUUCUGCAUUACCUUAUCCCUUACUUCUACAUUACCUUAUCCCUUACUUCUACAUUACCGUAUCCCUUACUUCUACAUUACCUUAUCCCUUACUUCUACAUUACCUUAUCCCUUACUUCUACAUUACCUUAUCCCUUACUUCUACAUUACCUUCUCCCUUACUUCUACAUUACCUUCUCCCUUACUUCUAUAUUACCGUAUCCCUUACUUCUACAUUACCGUAUCCCUUACUUCUACAUUACCUUAUCCCUUACUUCUACAUUACCUUAUCCCUUACUUCUACAUUACCUUAUCCCUUACUUCUAUAUUACCUUAGUUUGGCCAGUAACCGAAAGGUUGCUAGAUCGAAUCCCGAGCUGACAAGGUAA